rnacentral:tRNA from 2 species
UCGGGUAUCGUCUAACGGUAGGACAGCAGACUUUGGAUCUGUCGGUUGGGGUUCGAAUCCCUGUACCCGAG